rnacentral:rRNA from 1 species
GAAGCAGAGCACAGGGAUUGCCCUAGUAACGGCGAGUGAAGCGGCAACAGCUCAAAUUUGAAAUCUGGCCCCUUUUCGGGGUCCGAGUUGUAAUUUGCAGAGGGUGCUUUGGCAUAGGCGGCGGUCUAAGUUCCUUGGAACAGGACAUCGCAGAGGGUGAGAAUCCCGUAUGUGGGCGCCUGCCUUUGCCGUGUAAAGCCCCUUCGACGAGUCGAGUUGUUUGGGAAUGCAGCUCUAAAUGGGAGGUAAAUUUCUUCUAAAGCUAAAUACUGGCCAGAGACCGAUAGCGCACAAGUAGAGUGAUCGAAAGAUGAAAAGUACUUUGGAAAGAGAGUCAAAAAGCACGUGAAAUUGUUGAAAGGGAAGCGCUUGCAGCCAGACUUGCCCGUAGUUGCUCACCCAGGCUUUUGCCCGGGGCACUCUUCUGCGGGCAGGCCAGCAUCAGUUUGGGCGGUUGGAUAAAGGCCUCUGUCACGUAUCUCUCUUCGGGGAGACCUUAUAGGGGAGGCGUAAUGCGACCAGCCCGGACUGAGGUCCGCGCAUCUGCUAGGAUGCUGGCGUAAUGGCUGUAAGCGGCCCGUCUUGAAACACGGACCAAGGAGUCUAACAUCUAUGCGAGUGUUUGGGUGUCAAGCCCGGGCGCGCAAUGAAAGUGAACGGAGGUGGGAACCCCUCGGGGUGCACCAUCGACCGAUCCUGAAGUCUUCGGAUGGAUUUGAGUAAGAGCAUAGCUGUUGGGACCCGAAAGAUGGUGAACUAUGCUUGAAUAGGGUGAAGCCAGAGGAAACUCUGGUGGAGGCUCGCAGCGGUUCUGACGUGCAAAUCGAUCGUCAAAUUUGGGCAUAGGGGCGAAAGACUAAUCGAUCCAUCAUGG